rnacentral:rRNA from 1 species
UACGAAGGGGGCUAGCGUUGUUCGGAAUCACUGGGCGUAAAGCGCACGUAGGCGGAUUGGAAAGUCAGAGGUGAAAUCCCGGAGCUCAACUCCGGAACUGCCCUUGAUACUGGCAAUCUCGAGUCCGGAAGAGGUUAGUGGAAUUCCCAGUGUAGAGGUGAAAUUCGUAGAUAUUGGGAAGAACACCAGUGGCGAAGGCGGCUAACUGGUCCGGUACUGACACUGAGGUGCGAAAGCGUGGGGAUCAAACAGG